GGGGUGUCGGGUGGGAUUAGAGGGGAUAGAGGGGAGGGAGAGAGGCAAUAGAGAAAGAGAGGGCUAGACUCGCCGCCGCCGCCGAGGGUAGGAGAAGGAGGUGAGGAGAGGGAGUCUAACUCGAGGCGGGGCUUCACCUCCUUUCCAUGUGCUAGUAGCUAGACACGCGCAGAUCGGUAGCUCCCGAGGGGGAGAGCGCGAGGAAGAAGCGUUCCUCGCGAUCGUCGGGUGUGCCGCAUCUAGGUGAUGGGGACGCAGGCGGGGUGCGACCGGCGGCCACCGACGGCGUAUCUAGGCAAGGAGGGGGUGGACGACGUGCGCUACCACGUACGACGGUACGGCAAAACCACGUCGGUCUGGCGACGGGGAUGGGAGCGUGAGACCCGUCUCCGAGCAAGAACAAGCACCACUGAUGUGCAAGGAGGGGCCACCACCGCGAGACGGGCGACAGAACGCAAAGAGGGUCGCCAACGCGGGAAGCUGGGGAUGGAGCUUAGUUAGUUAGGCCGUUAUCUCUCAACUUUGACGUUUCUUCGCACUACUCCUUUUUCGACCAAAGCUGUAACCUGUAAACUUGUUUUAGUAUAUGACCUCUAACGAACAUAAUAUUAUCUUCCAUCACCUGGUUCUAAAGAAUAUAGACCCACUCCCGUAGUUAGUUACAACCCUGUUCCUUAGAGUAGUGAUGUUAUAUAUCUAUGGUAUCACCUGGUCCGCGCAAGAACUCGUAUCGAUCUGCCUUUUUGUAGAAAGGACUCGACCUUUGUUUGGUUUCCUCACGUGAGUGUGCCUUGGUACUUCGGUUGCUAGAUGCAGUUGAUCUACAAAAUCUAAAGUAAAACAUGUUGACUACAGAGUAUGAACGUAGAAAAUGGACAGGAAAACACUUGAACUACAUACAACAGAACCACCAUUACAAAUCUUGUCUUACUUCACAAACAUACACUGUUUAUUAAUUACCUUAUUUUUUUACAAACCCCGUG
rnacentral:rRNA from 1 species